rnacentral:rRNA from 1 species
GACGAACGCUGGCGGCGUGCUUAACACAUGCAAGUCGAACGGAAAGGCCCUGCUUUUGUGGGGUGCUCGAGUGGCGAACGGGUGAGUAACACGUGAGUAACCUGCCCUUGACUUUGGGAUAACUUCAGGAAACUGGGGCUAAUACCGGAUAGGAGCUCCUGCUGCAUGGUGGGGGUUGGAAAGUUUCGGCGGUUGGGGAUGGACUCGCGGCUUAUCAGCUUGUUGGUGGGGUAGUGGCUUACCAAGGCUUUGACGGGUAGCCGGCCUGAGAGGGUGACCGGCCACAUUGGGACUGAGAUACGGCCCAGACUCCUACGGGAGGCAGCAGUGGGGAAUAUUGCACAAUGGGCGGAAGCCUGAUGCAGCAACGCCGCGUGCGGGAUGACGGCCUUCGGGUUGUAAACCGCUUUCGCCUGUGACGAAGCGUGAGUGACGGUAAUGGGUAAAGAAGAACCGGAUAACUACGUG